UCUAAUGUGGCAGACUAGUGCAAUGGAUUUAAGCUCCAUAUAUAAAGGCUUUAUCCUUUCAUUAGAA
rnacentral:tRNA from 1 species